rnacentral:rRNA from 1 species
UACGGAGGGUGCGAGCGUUGUCCGGAAUCACUGGGCGUAAAGCGCGCGUAGGCGGUCUGUUAAGUGGGAUGUGAAAUCCCCGGGCUUAACCUGGGAAUUGCAUUUCAAACUGGCCGACUAGAGUACGGUAGAGGGAGGUAGAAUUUCCUGUGUAGCGGUGAAAUGCGUAGAUAUAGGAAGGAAUACCAGUGGCGAAGGCGGCCUCCUGGAUCGAUACUGACGCUGAGGCGCGAAAGCGUGGGAGCAAACAGG